UACGUAGGGUGCGAGCGUUAAUCGGAAUUACUGGGCGUAAAGUGUGCGUAGGCGGCCGCGCAAGUCGAGUGUGAAAGCCCCGAGCUUAACUUGGGAAUUGCGCUCGAAACUACGUGGCUGGAGUGUGGCAGAGGAAGGUGGAAUUCCAGGUGUAGCGGUGAAAUGCGUAGAGAUCUGGAGGAAUACCGAUGGCGAAGGCAGCCUUCUGGGCCAACACUGACGCUCAUGCACGAAAGCGUGGGGAGCAAACAGG
rnacentral:rRNA from 1 species